AGAGUAUAGAAGUAAGACGUGCUUCUAAAGAAACAAAGGAGCAUUCCUUUAACCUCUGCUCUGGAUUUCAGCUGGUGUCUGCUUAAGAAUUCUGUUUCACCUUUGAGUGGUCAUACAGUUGGAUAAAAGGACACAUUAUUUUUUAGCAGCUAACUCUCCAAUUGUUAUAUAGCAUUCAUCCCAAGUGAAUGUUGGAAGACAUACUCAGUCAUUUUUUUUUUUAGCUAACUCCAGUCUUAAUCGCUGAAGUGUUUGGCUGGGAUUACACUUUUUUGCUUCAUAUCAAAGGCUGCGUCCGGGCCCCGCUGUGUGGACGUCGCGAGGUGUGGGGUGUGUGUGUGUGACAGAGCCCCCCCCCC
rnacentral:lncRNA from 1 species